rnacentral:rRNA from 1 species
GAUGAACGCUGGCGGCGUGCCUAACACAUGCAAGUCGAGCGAAGCGAUUUAACGGAAGUUUUCGGAUGGAAGUUAAAUUGACUGAGCGGCGGACGGGUGAGUAACGCGUGGGUAACCUGCCUCAUACAGGGGGAUAACAGUUAGAAAUGACUGCUAAUACCGCAUAAGCGCACAGCAUCGCAUGAUGCAGUGUGAAAAACUCCGGUGGUAUGAGAUGGACCCGCGUCUGAUUAGCUAGUUGGUGAGGUAACGGCUCACCAAGGCGACGAUCAGUAGCCGACCUGAGAGGGUGAACGGCCACAUUGGGACUGAGACACGGCCCAA